rnacentral:rRNA from 1 species
ACCCGAGUAGUCCUGGCCAUAAACGCUGCGAGCUAGGUGUUGCAUAUUCUUCGGGAAUAUGCAGUGUCGAAAUGAAGAUGUUAAGCUCGCCGCCUGGGAAGUAUGGUCGCAAGACUGAAACUUAAAGGAAUUGGCGGGGGAGCACCACAAGGGGUGCGGCGUGCGGUUUAAUCUAAUUCAACGCAGAAAAUCUCACCAGAAGCGACGGCAGGAUGAAGGUCAGAUUGAAGGUUUUACCAGACAAGCCGAGAGGUAGUGCAUGGCCGUCGUCAGCUCGUGCCGUAAGGUGUCCUGUUAAGUCAGGCAACGAGCGAGACCUGUACCUACAAUUGCUAGCAACUUCUAGGAUUGAGCACAUUGUAGGGACUGCCUUGGAAACAAGGAGGAAGGCGCAGGCUACGAUAGGUCUGUAUGCUCCGAAUCUUCUGGGCUACACGCGCGCAACAAUGACAAGGACAAUGGGAUACGACUCCGAAAGGAGGAGUUAACCCUCUAAACCUUGCCUUAGUUCAGAUUGAGGACUGUAA